UCUUGGGUUCAAGUCCCACUUUUAGAAAAUUCUGUUAUUUUUGGUCUUAGUCUUAUACCUGUUGGGGUGGGCCUAUGAAAUAUUGUUGGUAAACUUAUAUCAGAAUUAGCCUGCUGGUUCUAGUGGUAAAGAGUUAGUGUGUUGGAGGUCCUAUGUUCGAAUCCUUGCUCAAGCAUAAGUGUUAAGUUUUGCUUCGGUUAUCUGAGAGAGUUUGGGUGGAGUUAGAAUUAUGAUGUGGUUGUGUAACACCCUAAACCUGGCCUAGACGUCUAGACCAAGUUUGGAGAGUCACGUCAUCCGCACUAAAAUUAUACUAUCAUAACACAG
rnacentral:lncRNA from 1 species